rnacentral:rRNA from 1 species
UACGGAGGGAGCUAGCGUUAUUCGGAUAUACUGGGCGUAAAGCGCACGUAGGCGGCGCCGUAAGUCAGGGGUGAAAUCCCGGAGCUCAACUCCGGAACUGCCCUUGAAACUGCAGUGCUAGAAUCUUGGAGAGGCGAGUGGAAUUCCGAGUGUAGAGGUGAAAUUCGUAGAUAUUCGGAAGAACACCAGUGGCGAAGGCGACUCGCUGGACAAGUAUUGACGCUGAGGUGCGAAAGCGUGGGGAGCAAACAGG